AGUGAAGCCGGAAAAGCUCAAAUUUAAAAUCUGGCGGUCUCUGGCCGUCCGAGUUGUAAUCUAGAGAAGUAAUGCCCGUGCUGGACCGUGUAUAAGUCUCCUGGGAUGGGGCGUCAUAGAGGGUGAGAAUCCCGUCUUUGACACGGACUACCAGUGCAUUGUGGUAUGCUCUCAAAGAGUCGAGUUGUUUGGGAAUGCAGCUCAAAAUGGGUGGUAAAUUCCAUCUAAAGCUAAAUAUUGGCGAGAGACCGAUAGCGAACAAGUACCGUGAGGGAAAGAUGAAAAGAACUUUGGAAAGAGAGUUAAACAGUACGUGAAAUUGCUGAAAGGGAAACGCUUGAAGUCAGUCGCGUUGGCCAGGGAUCAGCCUUGCAUUUGCAUGGUGUACUUUCUGGUUGACGGGUCAGCAUCAAUUUUGACCGCUGGAAAAGGUCCUGGGGAAUGUGGCAGCUCCGGCUGUGUUAUAGCCCCUGGUCGCAUACAGUGGUUGGGAUUGAGGAACUCAGCACGCCGCAAGGCCGGGUUUCGACCACGUCCGUGCUUAGGAUGCUGGCAUAAUGGCUUUAAGCGACCCGUCUUGAAACACGGACCAAGGAGUCUAACAUGCCUGCGAGUAUUUGGGUGGAAAACCCGAGUGCGCAAUGAAAGUGAAAGUUGAGAUCCCUGUCGUGGGGAGCAUCGACGCCCGGACCAGAACUUUUGGGACGGAUCCGCGGUGGAGCAUGUAUGUUGGGACCCGAAAGAUGGUGAACUAUGCCUGAUAGGGUGAAGCCAGAGGAAACUCUGGUGGAGGCUCGUAGCGAUUCUGACGUGCAAAUCGAUCGUC
rnacentral:rRNA from 1 species